CCUACGGGGGGCAGCAGUGGGGAAUAUUGCACAAUGGGCGCAAGCCUGAUGCAGCCAUGCCGCGUGUGUGAAGAAGGCCUUCGGGUUGUAAAGCACUUUCAGCGGGGAGGAAGGCGGUGAGGUUAAUAACCUCAUCGAUUGACGUUACCCGCAGAAGAAGCACCGGCUAACUCCGUGCCAGCAGCCGCGGUAAUACGGAGGGUGCAAGCGUUAAUCGGAAUUACUGGGCGUAAAGCGCACGCAGGCGGUCUGUCAAGUCGGAUGUGAAAUCCCCGGGCUCAACCCGGGAACUGCAUUCGAAACUGGCAGGCUAGAGUCUUGUAGAGGGGGGUAGAAUUCCAGGUGUAGCGGUGAAAUGCGUAGAGAUCUGGAGGAAUACCGGUGGCGAAGGCGGCCCCCUGGACAAAGACUGACGCUCAGGUGCGAAAGCGUGGGGAGCAAACAGGAUUAGAUACCCUAGUAGUC
rnacentral:rRNA from 1 species